rnacentral:rRNA from 1 species
AUUGAACGCUGGCGGCAUGCCUUACACAUGCAAGUCGAACGGUAACGGGUCCUUCGGGAUGCCGACGAGUGGCGAACGGGUGAGUAAUAUAUCGGAACGUGCCCAGUAGUGGGGGAUAACUGCUCGAAAGAGCAGCUAAUACCGCAUACGACCUGAGGGUGAAAGGGGGGGAUCGCAAGACCUCUCGCUAUUGGAGCGGCCGAUAUCAGAUUAGCUAGUUGGUGGGGUAAAGGCCUACCAAGGCAACGAUCUGUAGUUGGUCUGAGAGGACGACCAGCCAAACUGGGACUGAGACACGGCACAGACUCCUACGGGAGGCAGCAGUGGGGAAUUUUGGACAAUGGGCGCAAGCCUGAUCCAGCAAUGCCGCGUGCAGGAAGAAGGCCUUCGGGUUGUAAACUGCUUUUGUCAGGGAAGAAAUCUUCUGGGCUAAUACCCCGGGAGGAUGACGGUACCUGAAGAAUAAGCACCGGCUAACUACGUGCCAGCAGCCGCCGUAAUAC